CUCUACUCUCUCUUUGCAGUACACAACCUGUAAAAGCUUUCAACAGCAUCAUCUGGUGCAGUGCCACUGAGCUGUGCAUGGAAAAGAACAGGCUUUGAGGCACAGCCUGUUGUCUGAGGGUAUUUUGGUCCAUCACCCCAUACCUCACGUGCUGUAGAAAAGAAGGUAACAGGCAGUUUUCAUCAAAGCUCUUCUUUCAGGAGCGUUUUAAUAAAACCUGACAAUGGCACCGGGCUCAUCAGCACAGUAUAACCACACGGAGUGCAAUAUCUCCGCUAUAUUUUCUGUAUUUCCUCCUGUAUUUUCCACGGGUUACUAACUUAUGAAACAUGCCUGGUACCAAACCUGUCCAUGUUACAUAUUUACAGAAUCAAACACAUCUGCUUGUGAGUUCAGUGCUGCCAUGCUUGGGGAUAGCAGAAAUGUGCCUCAGAGGUGCUGGAGGGCAUAGGGAUACGGCAGCUGAGGUUCGAUUCAGUAAAAGAAAGAAGGACUCUUCUUUAGUUUAACCGUGGCAAUCCCACCUCUAAUUAAAAUUAGACAUUCUUGAUUGCAUUCUAAAUGGAUCUGAUGACUUUGUUAAUGCGAAGUGACAAGGCGGCUCUGUCUCUGUCAGCCUAUGAAACAUUAGAGCCGCGCUCUGGCUGGGGUUUAGGAGGAGACGAGGACGGACUUCAGUUAAAGCCCCUCGGUACUGGAGCAGGAAGGACCGACCGUGCGAGCAGCUUCGCAGCCAUCCCACCCGACUCCAGCCCCGGGGAAGCCCUCGGUCAGCAUCGCCGGGGGAGAGCAGUCGCGGUGCAGGCACGUCUCACCUGGCAAGGCUGGCCUCACGUUGGCCAAGCUGAAGCGACGAGAGAGGAAAACGAGGUCCCAGCCUGCCGUGCUGCUGAGCGGGAGUCACGCUGAGGGUCUCCCUCCUGGUUUGCUCAGGAUUUCACCAUCUGCAAUUGAAUAUCAUUUAUUUGGGCACAGUGUGUCUGCCUGCUUCUAAUGCAUCAGAAUGUGAUACUGCAUUUUCAGCAAACAAACCCAAAGUGUCUGUGUUCUCUUAUUUCUUGUGUUUAUUCAGUGUCACACUGCGAGGCACCGCGGGAGCAUGGCACUGGGGUCUGCAGGCACUGGGGCAGGUCCCUGAACUGGGUGAUGCUGGGGGGUGACCCUGGGCAACAGCAGUUAGCCCACAGAAGUUCACUUUUCUUUAAAAAAUCCUCUUCUGUGACAAUUUUGAUCCACCUUAAUGAAAAU
rnacentral:lncRNA from 1 species